GACGAACGCUGGCGGCGUGCUUAACACAUGCAAGUCGAACGGAAAGGCCCUGCUUUUGUGGGGUGCUCGAGUGGCGAACGGGUGAGUAACACGUGAGUAACCUGCCCUUGACUUUGGGAUAACUUCAGGAAACUGGGGCUAAUACCGGAUAGGAGCUCCUGCUGCAUGGUGGGGGUUGGAAAGUUUCGGCGGUUGGGGAUGGACUCGCGGCUUAUCAGCUUGUUGGUGGGGUAGUGGCUUACCAAGGCUUUGACGGGUAGCCGGCCUGAGAGGGUGACCGGCCACAUUGGGACUGAGGUACGGCCCAGACUCCUACGGGAGGCAGCAGUGGGGAAUAUUGCACAAUGGGCGGAAGCCUGAUGCAGCAACGCCGCGUGCGGGAUGACGGCCUUCGGGUUGUAAACCGCUUUCGCCUGUGACGAAGCGUGAGUGACGGUAAUGGGUAAAGAAGCACCGGCUAACUACGUGCCAGCAGCCGCGGUGAUACGUAGGGUGCGAGCGUUGUCCGGAUUUAUUGGGCGUAAAGGGCUCGUAGGUGGUUGAUCGCGUCGGAAGUGUAAUCUUGGGGCUUAACCCUGAGCGUGCUUUCGAUACGGGUUGACUUGAGGAAGGUAGGGGAGAAUGGAAUUCCUGGUGGAGCGGUGGAAUGCGCAGAUAUCAGGAGGAACACCAGUGGCGAAGGCGGUUCUCUGGGCCUUUCCUGACGCUGAGGAGCGAAAGCGUGGGGAGCGAACAGGCUUAGAUACCCUGGUAGUCCACGCUGUAAACGGUGGGUACUAGGUGUGGGGUCCAUUCCACGGGUUCCGUGCCGUAGCUAACGCUUUAAGUACCCCGCCUGGGGAGUACGGCCGCAAGGCUAAAACUCAAAGGAAUUGACGGGGCCCCGCACAAGCGGCGGAGCAUGCGGAUUAAUUCGAUGCAACGCGUAGAACCUUACCUGGGUUUGACAUGGAUCGGGAGUGCUCAGAGAUGGGUGUGCCUCUUUUGGGGUCGGUUCACAGGUGGUGCAUGGCUGUCGUCAGCUCGUGUCGUGAGAUGUUGGGUUAAGUCCCGCAACGAGCGCAACCCUUGUUCACUGUUGCCAGCACGUUAUGGUGGGGACUCAGUGGAGACCGCCGGGGUCAACUCGGAGGAAGGUGGGGAUGACGUCAAGUCAUCAUGCCCCUUAUGUCCAGGGCUUCACGCAUGCUACAAUGGCUGGUACAGAGAGUGGCGAGCCUGUGAGGGUGAGCGAAUCUCGGAAAGCCGGUCUCAGUUCGGAUUGGGGUCUGCAACUCGACCUCAUGAAGUCGGAGUCGCUAGUAAUCGCAGAUCAGCAACGCUGCGGUGAAUACGUUCCCGGG
rnacentral:rRNA from 1 species